UAGAACUCCAAAAAGAAUAUUUAAAACAUGCCGUAAUGGAAUGCAUCAUUACACAAACAUUUCACAUUAUGGACGGACUGACCCAAAAAUCCCUCAACUCCAUGCCCGGCCCUAUUAUGGGCACCACAGGACUUCGUAUUGCCCGGCCCUAUUAUGGGCACCACAGGACUUCGUAAAUCGGAGCUAUUGCCCGGCCCUAUUAUGGGCACCACAGGACUUCGUACAUAGGGCUAGUGAAUCGUGCAAUGUCCAUCCUCAUCAACAACAAUAAUAAUAAUGCAAUGCAACAUAUUCGUGAUUCUAAUGCAAACAUCCUAUAAUAUAGUCAUGAUGCAUGAAACAUGAUAAAAC
rnacentral:lncRNA from 1 species